rnacentral:sRNA from 1 species
CCACUUCAACUUGUUGUGGACAAAUGAAAUGGAUAUGCGCAUCAAUACCGCCUGCGGUCAAAAUAUGACCUUCGCCAGCGAUAAUUUCUGUGCCGGGUCCUAUGAUAAUAUCAACGCCAUUUUGCACAUCAGGAUUACCGGCUUUACCUAUCGCAGCAAUACGCCCAUGUUUUACCCCUACGUCGGCUUUGAUAAUUCCCCAAUAGUCGAUGAUGAGCGCAUUGGUAAUGACUAAAUCCAUCGCGGUCUGAUUAUCGACUUGGCUUUGCCCCAUGCCAUCACGA